UCCAGUCUUCAUCUGCAACCUGCUAAAUCUCCGGGAGACUGCUGCAUCUCUGCUGUGCAUCAUGGCCACCACAGGAACAAUGUUUCCAGACCAAAGUGACUUUGACUACGCUCCAGCUCGUCUGGGACCCAGAUUCCAAAGACAGAGGUUCCUCCUCAAACUGUUUAGACUCCAGACUCUCCGACCUGAAAGAGAGAAAGCAUGCCAGCAAACACACAAAAACACACUCACUCUCUCUUUCUCUCUCACGCACACACACACACACAUAAACACACACAUGUUGUCAACUUGUGAGCUGGAUGAUCAAUAAACAGGGUUUUCUGAUGCUUCCUCACUCAACCAGCGGUGGUAUCUGACUAACAGCUCCUCCCACAGCUUCUCCUCUCCCUGCCUUGGAUGCCUCCUCUCUUAAUGCUGCAGAAAUGUACAAAACAACUUUUUGUAUACUUUCCUCAGUGUUGUGUGAUUGUUGGUACUAUAAGCAGUAGAGACAUGAAUAUAUGCACACACAAAAGCUCAUAUGCAUAUUCAGAAAGACAGAAGCAACAAGUAUUGUCUCAAUUCCUGACAGUCAAAUAAAGAGCAUGAAUAUAUAUAUAAAUAUAUAUAGACUUGGCCAUUUUGUAUCAAUGACCCAUGAACUGCAUGCUUCAGUAAAUUGUAACAAUUGUCUAUUAGCUUUAUGUUCCCUAAUUUUUCAUUUAUUUCUGUUGAUAUCUUUUACCAGAAAAUAAUUAAUUAAUGAUAGAAUAAAGAAACAAAUCACAGGAAUAAAUCAAAAGUUGUAAAAUCCCCUGGCUAAAAUGAAGCAGCGGCCCUAAUAACUUGAUGAAAAAGAAGAACAAUGUAUUAUUUUGGAGAUCUUUUGAAAAAUAUAAAAGAAAAUGUGUAUUUAAAAUGUUUGUUUUAAUGUUUUAGUAUUAGGAGUUUGUUUUUAUUUCGAGUUAAAAGGAAUUAAGGUUUGAGAAAUUAAAGCCAA